rnacentral:tRNA from 1 species
GUCACGAAGACGAACCGGGUCAACAAAGUUUCGAUCUGUAAAGCGCUGGUUCGAGCCCAGCUCGUGACA